GUCUGAGCGCCGGAAUCCCGCGGGGAGGGGGUGCAGGCGGAGCAGGGGGCUCCGGGGGCUUUCCUCGCGCUCUCCGGCCCCCGCCUCUCUCCCAGCGGACUCUCGGCCACUCUUCAGGUGUUUCCCAGCUUUUGGAUCGCAGAACUUCAACGGUGUCCCUGGAGGCAUACCUAGAGAUGUUAAACAAUGGAGCAAAGAACCAAAACCUUUCACCUAUUUUAUUUGAUCUAGAAACAAUCAAGUAAAAGUGCUGAAGUCCAUGUAAAAUGGAAACUGGAAUCUUCAAAAUAAGCAGAGAGAACGCAGGGCUGGUUUCCAUGGCAGCAGCUUGCAAUAAAGCCUAAUUCCUUGUGACAAAGAGGUCAUCUUCCUUUUCAAACGUGUUUAUGAUCCUUUUGUGCAUUGUAUUUUGGCAUAAAAGCUUCUCAGCACUGUCAGGGCUCCACGGGCAGCUCUAUGACUCUCAAGGGGGUUUAUUGCCUCUUUGGUAUAAGAAUAGCAGAAAGAAGCCAAACUAGUGCCAGUGUAACAAAAGAGUAACCCCACAGGCUUGCCCUUGUUUUCUUUCUGUAAUUCAUAAAUCUUCGUAUGCAUUGAAUAAUUAAAAAUGAAGGAUUCUGGGUAUAACUCUAAUUUUAUUUCGUGUUUUCCAACCUCUUUUACCGACUGAAAUACCAUAUGCAAACAAAUACAAGAAAACCAAUCAAAUGUAAGGAUAUGAUUAAUUUUUGUCUUGCUUUAUUUUCCAGAUAAUUUUGGAAAAGAAAUCAAAUAGGGUUAAAACCUUGAACAUACCUUUAAAACUAUGUGGAGGAAAGUCUAACCAUAACUUUAGAUAAGUAUGGUAUUAACGCAUGAAUGCAUCUUUCAUAUCACAAUGCCUAGAACAUGAUCAAAAAGGUUUUUAAGUCAAACCCAUCUAAACUUAUUUUCCUUAACUCUCAAAUUGCCAUGGCAGAAAUGUGGAAAUAGACCAGGAAGAAAACAUGAUUUUCUUGGGGGAGCAGUAAAGGAUCUUGAAGUCCUGAGUUCAAAUCCAGUUUCUCUUAAUUGGAAGAAAAUGUUUCGCCACAUCCACGUGACAGUGGGUAUGUGUGCAGGAAAGCCCCUCCUAGUUCUGCUUGGCAUUUGCAAAAGAAGCUCCUAUCCUUUUCAGGAGACCCAAAGAGUUCAUCUGACAACAUCUUCAGUCUGGGAAGUUCAGAAAGAGUGCAGUGAAAAAUGAGUUUUAUUUUUUGUGAUCAAAUAAUUUAAAAAGGACUUCAGUUCUACUUGAGUAAAACUGUUCUAGAAUCUUAGACUACUCUGCUCUCCUAUAACAGGGGAGAGAUUUCUAGACUUCCUAGAGUUUUUUCAAAUCAAAAGGGUACCGAACUACAGCAGAAAAAGCUGACCCGAUGAAGGCACCCGCCAGUGGUAUCUUCCCACCUUCACAUUGCUCUGAAUCUCUUGAACACUCAUGUCUUCCAUAACAACAUGUAUAAGAUGAUAAUGAUGAUAAGACAUUACAAAGCAGGCUGGAGCAAAUCUCUGUGGUGGCAACUACUGGUUAUUGCUCUCCAGCAAUUCAUCUUUUCCAGCUGUACCUAGAAUCUUCCAGAGCUGAGAAAAGCAUAUUUGCACGAAUACUGUGAAGUAGUGGAUGAGUGGGGGUCCAACUUUUUCGGCUUGUGGAAAGCUCCCACUUACUGCUCGAGGGGAAUUCUUUUGUCUGAGCAGCGGAACAAGAUAACCGACUUAAUCUUCCUAGUAACACAUUUUUCACUCUGAUUGAAGCCAGCUGCCAUGUUGUGCUAGGGACAGGCCCAUGUGGUGAGGCACCGAGGCCUCUGGCCAACAGCCAACAAGGAAGACACCUUCCGCUACCAGUCAUGUGAGAGAGCUUGGAGGCAGAUGCAUCAGUCCCAGUCAAGCCUUCAGAUGACUGCGGCCCCAGCGGAUAUUGUGAUGGAAACUUAAGGAGACUCUGAGUUAGCAUUAUUUGGCAAAGCCACUCUCCAAUUUCUAAUCUGUAGAAAUUUCAAGCUAACAGCCUUUUAUAAUCCUCUGUAUAUAAUAAUCCUUUGUUAUUCAAAGCUUCUAAGUUUUGGGUGAAUUUGUCAAGCAGCAAUAGAGAAAUAAUAUAAUAGAUAAUUAAAAUUCAAUUAUAGUGUAGAUAAUAUGACACAAGUGUGUAUUAGCUUCCAUGAUAACUGUACAGUGAUAGUUGCACAAUUAUUUUGAGACAUCAAAGGAGGAGUCCUUUACUUAGGUUGUGGAGAAAAAGAGAAUGGGGAUAAAGGAUAUCAAGGAGGAUUUUUUCAGGAAGUGUUGGUUGAGGUGAAUCUUCAAAGAUGAGAGGACAUAGGGAGUGACUGUCCCUGCAGAUGUAAGAAAAGCACGAAAAUAGUCAUCAAGUGACAAAGCAGCUUGUAGUGGGGUGGGAGGAAACAGGGUGACCUCAUACUGAAACCAUUAGCAGUUUGGUGUUUCUAGAGAGUAGAUUACAAGACUAGGAGGCAUGGUGGGCUA